GGUUUUUACUUGUUGCUCUGACCUGUCAGCAUUUGCCUGACAGAUGCAAGUCCAUCUCCUACUGAUUAGCAGACAGAGAGUGUAUAGCAACUAUAAAUAGAAAAUAGGUGGUUUUUUUUGUUCUUUGACAGUUUCUAUUAAUACAUUGUAUGUCCAGAGGAAAAUAAAGUAGUUUGUGCUGAAACUGAAGUAUUGUUUGAAUGUAACCGCCUUGCACAGCCAAGGACUCAUAAGCUGUCCUCAGAUUUCCCUGUAAGCAGGGCAGGAGUUGAGAGUUCAGAUUUAUAUCUUGUUCCAGGUCAAAGCACCUGAGCAAGGCCCUGCCAGCUGUGGUGCUUCUGUCUCUUAGAGGCAGACCUAUCCUUUUAAGUCCUAGGAAUAGUGUGUUUCCAUCCCGGUCUCAGACUGACGGCUGUGCUUGUGUUCUGAAGCUCACAUAGUCUUCCACUGUGUUGGGCCUUGGCAUGACACAGCAGGCAAGAGUCAAAGGCUUUCUUUAUGGCUGGAGACUAAGCCAGGCACUGUGACUCGUCCUGCCUUCGCCUGUCAAAGGACAUUACUGUGCAGGAAACCAUGGUUUUCCUUUGUCUUCAUGUCAGUUGUGGCUAUUCCCAUAGAAUUAGGUAAUGUGGAAAGACCUGGCAAUGUCAAACCUUCUUUUGUAAUUACCUUUUUUUUUUGUAGCUUCAAUGAAAUGAACUGUAAACAGCAUAUACUGAAGCUCUCAGAACUCAGACAUGUGACAUGGGAUUUGAAGGCAGCCUGGAUGCAUUGCAAGACCCUGUCUUAUAAAAAAAAAAAGUGCAUUGCAACAGGCCUCUUAGCUCCUUACUGUUGGUGAAACAAAUUAGCACAAACUCCAAGGCUGCAAGCACGGUGGUGUUCUAAGUCAGCUCUGGAGGUCAGUAGAAUAAAAAACAUCCGGUUAGCAGCUGUGGUUCCUGGAGGACCUAGGGGGAAAGCCCAGAUUCUUGCCUUUUUUACCUUGUAGAGCGAACCUGCCUUUCUUGGCGCAGGCCCCGUCUUCACAGCACUUCCCAAACUUCAUGGUUCCAUUGUGGUGACUGUUCUCCUGAUUCCUGGUACUAAAAGGAGCCCUGUCAUUACAUCAGGUCCUCCUAGAUAAUCCAAGACUACCUCCACAGUUUCCUGAUAUUGACUUGGUCACUUCCAUAGAGAGCUCCUUUGACAUUCACGAGGAUAGGAUGCUUGCCACAUGGGUGUGUUGGAGGACACAAGCCAUUCCCAUGCCAUCCCCAGAGCCCUUCCCAUGCCAUCGGAUUAUUAAGUAGUUGAAAGAAAGCCCUUCUUUAUAUUUUAUAAUUGUAUUCUGCAUAUGUGACCUAAGUUUAAAGUGGUUUUUUUUUUUUUUUUUUGGUUUUGUAUUGUGUUGUGUUGUUUUAUGCUUGGUUCAUGAUUUUUACGUCAGGGCCAUUCUGAUUAAGUUAAGGAAAAUUCCUGUGUCAAUUAGUUUUUUCUGGAGAAACCAAAAAUAAAAGCAAAGGUCAUUGAUAAUUGAGACUAAAAUUACUGAAAAAUUAGUGGAAGGGGAUUUUUUUUUUUUUUUUUUUUUUUUUUUUUUAGUUUUUCGAGAGAGGGUUUCUCUAUAGCCCUGGCUGUCCUGGAAUUCACUUUGUAGACCAGGCUGGCCUCGAACUCAGAAAUCCACCUGCCUCUGCCUCCCGAGCACUGGGAUUAAAGGCGUGCGCCACCAUGCAGAAGGUGAUUUAAAAAAAAAAACUGGAGGUGGGGACUGGAGAGAUGGUUCAGUGGUUAAGAGCACUGACUGUUCUUCCAGAGGUCCCGAGUUUAAUUCCCAGCAACAACAUGGUGGCUCACAACCAUCUGCAAUGGGAUCUGAUGCCUUCUUAUGGUGUGUCUGAAGACAGCUGCAAUGUAUUCAUAUAAAUAAAAACAUAAAUAAAUCUUUUAAAAAAUUUUUUUGGUAAGUCAUUAAAACAAAUCCAAGCAGUUGCAGUAAGAAUGUACCCACUGGAGUGUGAGUGAAGCUGCUGGGACGCUGGCAGCCAGCCCUGUGCCCUCUGUGUUCUAACACAUAGGCUUUGGCACAGUUUUAAAGUUCAGUUUAAGUGUUUACAUUAGUAUUUGUUUUCAGAGCAAAACAAAGACUAAAUUGGGACUGUAGUUCAUGGUUGCCUACAGUGCUAAAUGUUUAUCUUUGGGUGACUGCUCAUGCGCUCUUUUUUUUUCCAUGCCCCCAUUAUGUGGUUUCUCAGUCAUUGCUCGAGCUUGGGGUGUUUGCACAAGUAUUAGAUGGGAUUCUCAUUUACACUUGCCCUAUCUUCCUUGAACCUAAUGGAUCACUAGGAGAAAUGCCUUUACUGAAGUCCAAGUAGAACCCGAGUAACUUCAGAGUGGACUGGGUGAUAAGUAAUGAAAUCAAUUUUAUUUCUAAGAGUGUAAAGCAACUAUUAGAGCCCUGUUCCUGUCAGUGGUCAUUUUGGAUACCAUAUUCGAAGCCUUAGGAAGAAGCUACUGUAUAUGAAAGACAUAUAUUUACAAGAGAGAAAAUGAGCUUUUUGGUUGUGUGUGUGUGUGUGUGUGUGUGUGUGUAAGAAUCAUCUUAUAUAGCUCAGGCUGGCUUCCAACUCAAGAGCCUCCUACUUCAGUCUCUCGCUAGGUUAUAAUGUGGUCAUACACCACCAUCUCUGCCAUUCUGGGGGUGGGGAGGGGAAAAGAGUGUUAAUAAACCAAGCCAGAGAUGUUAUCAGUCCUGGAACGCCUAUCUUAGCCACUAGUGAGGCUAAAGUAGCAGAAUUUUAAGUUUGAGGCCAGCCUGGACAACGUUUGGAGACCCUAUCUCAAGAAAUGAAAGUGCUAGGCAGAAUGCUUACCUACUUUCAGGUCCUGAGUUCAAU
rnacentral:lncRNA from 1 species